CAUUGUUACAGAGCUGAAACUCCGUGUUUAGGGAGUAGACAACGGGAACGGGGCGGUUUGUCUGCUGGAAGGCAAUCGGGAUCAAAAAUCUGAAAUUGGGACAGCAAAAGAAAAAGUGCUCUCACCUCUGAACUUGGCCUGGGUCUUGAACUCGAUAACCAGCCGGCCAUCCUCACGGAUGUAGAUCCUGAUUAUCUGCAGCCGGGCUGAAAGGACACUGUCCGUCUGAAUCCCUGUGUGGUGCAGCAAGAACAGAGUCACUGGAGAGGCCGUGUGGCACAGCAAGUCCUCAAUCAAGGAGGUUCUCUGCUCCCACUGUGACCCUGAAGUUCAGUAAGUGAUGGUGGAAACCCUCACCGGGCUUCUCCAAAGAGGCAAGAAAGCUCAAGUUUGAGUCCAGAAUCAGGUAAGACUGUAUGCAUCACUCUAGACCCCUUAGUGUGUGGAUUUGAGUACCUGCAAUGGACAUAAAUGAAGCUGCCUGCAGUCUUUUGGGGCAUCCCAAUCUCACUAUAACGCAGGAAUUUGCACUUUUCAUUAAGCAGAUACACAAAAAGGUUAUCACUGGACUGUCAUUAAUGCACCUGACAAAAGGAGCUGUGGUCACAACUUCAGCUCAAUUUUUUUCCCAUU